AUUACCAUUACCAUUACCAUUACCUAUAAUGGUCAAAACUCAGAUAUGGCAAAGCUUGUAAAAAUUCUGAUAACUUAUAGAAAGUGAAGGCAUAUAUUGGUGCAAGAAAAAACUAUUAAAUGAAUGCAUAAUUUUGCAGCAGUUACCAAAGAUAUUGCAAAUUACACCAUAUGUCAUCAUACACACAAAAUUUCCAUUAAAUAAAAUCUGUGAUAGUAAGGUGGGAGGGGUGGGGUGUUGGAGGUUGGGGGGCAUAAUUAUUAAAGGCAUGCCUCGAGCUCAAGGCUCAUCAGGCUCCAACCUUAAUGCCUCCUCCACAGGAGAAAGGCGAAUGACAUUCACUAGGCCAUCGCCUUAUGGGCCUAGGCAUGCGCCUUGUUCUUGAACAAGGCUCUAGAGAGGCACGCCUUCUCUAUUUUCACCUUCGGCAAGCACUUCCAUUGACAAAAAGCAC
rnacentral:misc_RNA from 1 species